UCCUUGAUGGUCUAACGGUCAUGAUUUCCGCUUGUCACUCCCCUUGGGAACAAGCGCGGGAGACCUGGGUUCGACUCCCAGUCAGGGAG
rnacentral:tRNA from 1 species